rnacentral:tRNA from 1 species
GGAUUGUGGCUCAGCGGUACAGCGCUCGCCUAGCAUAUGCAAGGCCCUGGGUUUGAUCCUCAGCACCA